rnacentral:tRNA from 1 species
GGAUAUAGCUCAGUGGUAGAGCGCAUGCCUUGUGUGCAGGAGGUCCCAGGUUCAAUCCCCAGUACCUCCA